UUUCUCACCUCUCUCUCUCUCUCACUUUCUCGUUCUCUCUCUCUAUAUAUAUUUUUCUCUCUCUAAAGAAGAUGACUUCUUCCAUGAAAGCCACCAACAAGCACCACCUACCAAUCUACCAUUGCCACUAACAAGCACCACAUUUGACCAACCACCUGCCACUGACACUAACAAGCACCACCUUCUACCAUCGUUUUUACCACCCACCUGCCACCACAACCUACCACCACCACAACCCCAAACUUAAAUCAAACACCUUCAACAAUAUUAUACUACACACGAGCCUAUGAAAGAAUACAAAAUAUUAAAAUUUCAAACCAUAAUUGUUGCCUCUUACAGUUAUAGCAAAUUGUGAAACAAAUAGAGCCCAACAGUUAAAACCAUACACAUCCACAGUCAGCCCAGCCCAACCCGAACCGAACGACCUGAACAUUCCAUCUAGGUAUAGAGAUUUCGCUGUCAAGUCCUCACCGGACUCCACACAAUCCCACCGUCUCCGUCGUAGUCACCUCUGAUCAGGUCUUAAACCAUGUGCCAAAGAUAAAGUUGGAAAAAAGGGGCGAUUUAAGGACAUUACAGAUGAAUUCUACACAAACUGUUGAACUUACAGCUGAUGCACGGCCAUGCGCCCCAACUGCACGACCGUGCAUGACCUACGACACCGGAAGCACGGGGAGUGCAUAAGCCAGUGCAGCUGAUUCCUCGGAGACCCACGAUCGUGCGACCAAGUGCACUCCCGUGCACUACCUGAACCUUAAAGAAACUGAGUUUCAAGACCCUGCACUACCAUGCAAUGAUGUGCACGACCGUGCACAUCUGAGACUUAGACCAUUGUCCACUUGUCUGACCCA